rnacentral:misc_RNA from 1 species
AAGUCGUAACAAGGUUUCCGUAGGUGAACCUGCGGAAGGAUCAUUAGCGAAGUUUUGGGUUGGAUGAUUAAUCCGCCCAUAACCAAACACCAUGUGAACGAGGAUAUGUUGCUCUGCUGUGGUCACUUCGGUGGCUGCAGUGAGCCGACUCUAAACUAUGUGACACCACAUCAAACAAUACAAACUAUAAUAACUAUCAUACAACUUUUAACAAUGGAUCUCUAGGCUCCU